rnacentral:tRNA from 1 species
GGGGCUGUAGCUCAGCGGGAGAGCACCUCGCUUGCACCGAGGGGGUCAGGGGUUCAAAUCCCCUCAGCUCCACCA